rnacentral:lncRNA from 1 species
GAUGAUCCAUGCACUAGGUGCAUGGAGAAAUUUGAGUUCAAAUUUUGAACCUGGUGCAUAGGUUAAUCCAUGCACCAGGUGCAUAGAUUACAAAAAGUGGGAUGUUCUCGUAGGCAUGAAUGGGUAUUACAAAUAGCAGAUUAGUCCUUUCCCUUUCAUAUAUUUGCAAGAUGCUCCUUCAAACAUAUAAUAUUCUGUUAUUUUAACUAAGGUAUAAUAUAAACAAAUGGGAAGGACUAAUAUGCAAUUUAAUACCCAUGAUCCCAUGAUCCUACAUCGUAACUUCCCACAAACCUCACCAUACGCACGUCCAUACGCACGUUCUCCCGGGUAGUUAGACUAGUCCCAUAAAUAUCUCUCAAUGAGAAAAGAAAAAGGGACACAGUUUUUUGAAUUCUCAAACCUAUUCCUAACAAAAAAAAACCCAUACUAUUCCCCUGUUCACGAAAGAAGAAAAAAAAAGGGUAGUUUUUCCAUUGAUGUAGCAUCAAUCAAUGACA